rnacentral:lncRNA from 1 species
CCGCUUGGCGUACCUAGAAAAUAUAAUUAAAAAAAUUUUAGGAAAUUAAUUCACGAAAUUAAAUGUAAUAUAAUUAAACAUUUAAAAUAAACUGUAAAAACACUAACUUCGUCAUAGUAAUUGGCGCCGCUUUCAUGUCUACGUGCUGCUGCUAAUAGUGCUUGAUGCCAUUUAUUCAAACUUGGAUGAAGAUGUUUCUUCCAUCUUGAAGAACAACUUUCGUGGUUUCGGGUAUUCGGUGGAGUGGUGCUUUCGUAGAACUCUAAGUAUUUUUUGGACACACG